CGAGUAUACACGCCUGGAUACGAACGUUUAUUACAAGUAGUAAUGAAUGAAGAUGGAUUAAAAACUGCAGCAUCCAUGGAAAUUUAGCAAAAUUAAACAGCUCAAAUACCAAAACAAAGCAAAAAGAUUUUUGGGUUUUUGAAGAAUUGAAGAUUUUGUAGAGAUGAAAUUGAGCAGAUGGCAGAGCUCAUUGCGUUUAAG
rnacentral:misc_RNA from 1 species